AAACUAUAAUAUGAAACUAUUGGUUCGACAAAUUAUAACAUGAAAACAAACAAGUAAUAGUAAUUUUUGAUCAUCACAGAGAAAAAAAAACAAAAAACAUCAAACAUUUUAACUGAACAACCCAAGUAAAUAUUGAUUUAAAAUGAUAGUUAUAUUUUAGGAGAUUAAAAACUAAAAAAUAACAUAAAACCGAACCGAUAUCCAGAUUAAACAGAUUAAUGUCUCCUUAUUAAAAAAUAACGAAACUAAUAAUCACAUUCAUGCACGGAUUAUUACCUUGUAUAUACAUAUAACAUAUACAUAUAUUUCCAUAACAUUUUAGAUUGCCCUAAAUAUUUUACAUAAGACUUAAGAAAGUAGUAAAUAUUGGUAGGUUUGGUUCUCAUUUGGCUAGCCCAUUU
rnacentral:lncRNA from 1 species